AGCGAACGCUGGCGGCAGGCUUAACACAUGCAAGUCGAGCGGGCGUAGCAAUACGUCAGCGGCAGACGGGUGAGUAACGCGUGGGAACGUACCUUUUGGUUCGGAACAACACAGGGAAACUUGUGCUAAUACCGGAUAAGCCCUUACGGGGAAAGAUUUAUCGCCGAAAGAUCGGCCCGCGUCUGAUUAGCUAGUUGGAGGGGUAAUGGCCCACCAAGGCGACGAUCAGUAGCUGGUCUGAGAGGAUGAUCAGCCACAUUGGGACUGAGACACGGCCCAAACUCCUACGGGAGGCAGCAGUGGGGAAUAUUGGACAAUGGGCGCAAGCCUGAUCCAGCCAUGCCGCGUGAGUGAUGAAGGCCCUAGGGUUGUAAAGCUCUUUUGUGCGGGAAGAUAAUGACGGUACCGCAAGAAUAAGCCCC
rnacentral:rRNA from 1 species